rnacentral:rRNA from 1 species
GAUGAACGCUGGCGGCGUGCCUAAUACAUGCAAGUCGAGCGAACUGAUUAGAAGCUUGCUUCUAAGACGUUAGCGGCGGACGGGUGAGUAACACGUGGGCAACCUGCCUGUAAGACUGGGAUAACUUCGGGAAACCGAAGCUAAUACCGGAUAGGAUCUUCUCCUUCAUGGGAGAUGAUUGAAAGAUGGUUUCGGCUAUCACUUACAGAUGGGCCCGCGGUGCAUUAGCUAGUUGGUGAGGUAACGGCUCACCAAGGCAACGAUGCAUAGCCGACCUGGGAGGGUGAGCGGCCACACUGGGACUGAGACACGGCCCAGACUCCUACGGGAGGCAGCAGUAGGGAAUCUUCCGCAAUGGACGAAAGUCUGACGGAGCAACGCCGCGUGAGUGAUGAAGGCUUUCGGGUCGUAAAACUCUGUUGUUAGGGAAGAACAAGUACAAGAGUAACUGCUUGUACCUUGACGGUACCUAACCAGAAAGCCACGGCUAACUACGUGCCAGCCGCCGCCGUAA